AUGCACGCAGCGGGGACAUGUAUUCUGAACUGCGUGGCAUGGAACUAUAGGGGGAUUGGUGGCUCUCGCACAGUCCGGGACCUAGUGUCACUCAUCCAAGUUCACCAUCCCCGAUUUGUCUUCUUAUGUGAGACAAGGCAAGCUAAAGAAAAAGUCCAUCAUUUGAGCAAGCGCUUCGGGUUGAGAGGCUUUGCAAGGGUUAGUAGCUCAGGUUUCAGUGGAGGGCUGGCCCUUUUUUGGGAUGUUCAGAUGCAA
rnacentral:rRNA from 1 species